GAUCUGGCUCAGGACGAACGCUGGCGGCGUGCUUAACACAUGCAAGUCGAACGAGAAUCUGCAAAAAGAGGAUUCGUCCAAUUGAAGCAGAGGACAGUGGCGGACGGGUGAGUAACGCGUGAGGAACCUGCCUUUCAGAGGGGGACAACAGUUGGAAACGACUGCUAAUACCGCAUAACAUAUAGAUGUCGCAUGGCAUUUAUAUCAAAGAUUUAUCGCUGAAAGAUGG
rnacentral:rRNA from 1 species